UACGAAGGGGGCUAGCGUUGCUCGGAAUCACUGGGCGUAAAGGGUGCGUAGGCGGGGCUUUAAGUCAGGGGUGAAAUCCUGGAGCUCAACUCCAGAACUGCCUUUGAUACUGAGGAUCUUGAGUUCGGGAGAGGCGAGUGGAACUCCGAGUGUAGAGGUGAAAUUCGUAGAUAUUCGGAAGAACACCAGUGGCGAAGGCGGCUCACUGGUCCGGUACUGACGCUGAGGUGCGAAAGCGUGGGGAGCAAACAGG
rnacentral:rRNA from 1 species